ACGAGGCACUACGGUGCUGAAGCAACAAAUGCCCUGCUUCCAGGAAAAGCCUCUAAGCAUCAGGUAACAUCAAAUCGUACCCCAAACCGACACAGGUGGUCAGGUAGAGAAUACCAAGGCGCUUGAGAGAACUCGGGUGAAGGAACUAGGCAAAAUGGUGCCGUAACUUCGGGAGAAGGCACGCUGACACGUAGGUGAAGUGAUUUACUCAUGGAGCUGAAGUCAGUCGAAGAUACCAGCUGGCUGCAACUGUUUAUUAAAAACACAGCACUGUGCAAACACGAAAGUGGACGUAUACGGUGUGACGCCUGCCCGGUGCCGGAAGGUUAAUUGAUGGGGUCAGCGCAAGCGAAGCUCCUGAUCGAAGCCCCGGUAAACGGCGGCCGUAACUAUAACGGUCCUAAGGUAGCGAAAUUCCUUGUCGGGUAAGUUCCGACCUGCACGAAUGGCGUAAUGAUGGCCAGGCUGUCUCCACCCGAGACUCAGUGAAAUUGAACUCGCUGUGAAGAUGCAGUGUACCCGCGGCAAGACGGAAAGACCCCGUGAACCUUUACUAUAGCUUGACACUGAACAUUGAGCCUUGAUGUGUAGGAUAGGUGGGAGGCUUUGAAGUGUGGACGCCAGUCUGCAUGGAGCCGACCUUGAAAUACCACCCUUUAAUGUUUGAUGUUCUAACGUGGACCCGUAAUCCGGGUUGCGGACAGUGUCUGGUGGGUAGUUUGACUGGGGCGGUCUCCUCCUAAAGAGUAACGGAGGAGCACGAAGGUUGGCUAAUCCUGGUCGGACAUCAGGAGGUUAGUGCAAUGGCAUAAGCCAGCUUGACUGCGAGCGUGACGGCGCGAGCAGGUGCGAAAGCAGGUCAUAGUGAUCCGGUGGUUCUGAAUGGAAGGGCCAUCGCUCAACGGAUAAAAGGUACUCCGGGGAUAACAGGCUGAUACCGCCCAAGAGUUCAUAUCGACGGCGGUGUUUGGCACCUCGAUGUCGGCUCAUCACAUCCUGGGGCUGAAGUAGGUCCCAAGGGUAUGGCUGUUCGCCAUUUAAAGUGGUACGCGAGCUGGGUUUAGAACGUCGUGAGACAGUUCGGUCCCUAUCUGCCGUGGGCGCUGGAGAACUGAGGGGGGCUGCUCCUAGUACGAGAGGACCGGAGUGGACGCAUCACUGGUGUUCGGGUUGUCAUGCCAAUGGCACUGCCCGGUAGCUAAAUGCGGAAGAGAUAAGUGCUGAAAGCAUCUAAGCACGAAACUUGCCCCGAGAUGAGUUCUCCCUGAGACUUAGAGUCUCCUGAAGGAACGUUGAAGACGACGACGUUGAUAGGCCGGGUGUGUAAGCGCAGCGAUGCGUUGAGCUAACCGGUACUAAUGAACCGUGAGGCUUAACC
rnacentral:rRNA from 8 species